rnacentral:rRNA from 1 species
UGCAGUCGACGGCAGCACGGACUUCGGUCUGGUGGCGAGUGGCGAACGGGUGCCUUAGUAUCGGAACGUGCCUGGUAGUGGGGGAUAACUAGUCGAAAGAUUAGCUAAUACCGCAUACGACCUACGGGUGAAAGCAGGGGACCUUCGGGCCUUGUGCUAUCAGAGCGGCCGAUAUCUGAUUAGCUAGUUGGUGGGGUAAAAGCCCACCAAGGCGACGAUCAGUAGCUGGUUUGAGAGAACGACCAGCCACACUGGAACUGAGACACGGUCCAGACUCCUACGGGAGGCAGCAGUGGGGAAUUUUGGACAAUGGGGGCAACCCUGAUCCAGCAAUGCCGCGUGAGUGAAGAAGGCCCUCGGGUUGUAAAGCUCUUUUGUCAGGGAAGAAAAGGUCGUGGCUAAUAUCCACGGCUCAUGACGGUACCUGAAGAAUAAGCACCGGCUAACUACGUGCCAGCAGCCGCGGUAAUACGUAGGGUGCAAGCGUUAAUCGGAAUUACUGGGCGUAAAGCGUGCGCAGGCGGUUGAUUAAGUUUGAUGUGAAAUCCCCGGGCUUAACCUGGGAACUGCAUUGAAUACUGGUCAGCUAGAGUGUGUCAGAGGGGGGUAGAAUUCCACGUGUAGCAGUGAAAUGCGUAGAGAUGUGGAGGAAUACCGAUGGCGAAGGCAGCCCCCUGGGAUAACACUGACGCUCAUGCACGAAAGCGUGGGGAGCAAACAGGAUUAGAUACCCUGGUAGUCCACGCCCUANACGAUGUCAACUAGUUGUCGGGUCUUAAUUGACUUGGUAACGCAGCUAACGCGUGAAGUUGACCGCCUGGGGAGUACGGUCGCAAGAUUA